rnacentral:rRNA from 1 species
GUUGAACGCUGGCGGCAUGCUUUACACAUGCAAGUCGAACGGCAGCGCGGGCUUCGGCCUGGCGGCGAGUGGCGAACGGGUGAGUAAUGCAUCGGAACGUGCCCAGUAGUGGGGGAUAGCCCGGCGAAAGCCGGAUUAAUACCGCAUACGACCUGAGGGUGAAAGCGGGGGACCGAAAGGCCUCGCGCUAUUGGAGCGGCCGAUGUCGGAUUAGCUAGUUGGUGGGGUAAAGGCUUACCAAGGCGACGAUCCGUAGCUGGUCUGAGAGGACGACCAGCCACACUGGGACUGAGACACGGCCCAGACUCCUACGGGAGGCAGCAGUGGGGAAUUUUGGACAAUGGGGGCAACCCUGAUCCAGCCAUGCCGCGUGCGGGAAGAAGGCCUUCGGGUUGUAAACCGCUUUUGUUCGGGAAGAAAUCCUCUGGGCUAAUACCCCGGGGGGAUGACGGUACCGGAAGAAUAAGCACCGGCUAACUACGUG